UGAGGAAUUUUGCGCAAUGGCCGCACGGCUGACGCAGCAACGCCGCGUGGGUGUUGAAGGCCUUCGGGUCGUAAAGCCCUGUCAGGUGGGAAGAAACGCCUGGAGAAGAAACGCUUUGAGUUUGACGGUACCACCAGAGGAAGCACCGGCUAACUCCGUGCCAGCAGCCGCGGUAAUACGGAGGGUGCGAGCGUUAUUCGGAAUUACUGGGCGUAAAGCGCGUGUAGGCGGGGAUGCAAGUCUGAUGUGAAAGCCCUGGGCUUAACCUGGGAAGUGCAUUGGAAACUGCAUUUCUUGAGUACUGGAGAGGAAGGGGGAAUUCCCGGUGUAGAGGUGAAAUUCGUAGAGAUCGGGAGGAAUACCAGUGGCGUAGGCGCCCUUCUGGACGGUUACUGACGCUGAGACGCGAAAGCGUGGGGAGCAAACA
rnacentral:rRNA from 1 species